rnacentral:rRNA from 1 species
UACGUAGGGUGCAAGCGUUAUCCGGAAUUAUUGGGCGUAAAGAGCUCGUAGGCGGUUUGUCGCGUCUGCUGUGAAAACUGGAGGCUCAACCUCCAGCCUGCAGUGGGUACGGGCAGACUAGAGUGCGGUAGGGGAGACUGGAAUUCCUGGUGUAGCGGUGAAAUGCGCAGAUAUCAGGAGGAACACCGGUGGCGAAGGCGGGUCUCUGGGCCGUAACUGACGCUGAGGAGCGAAAGCAUGGGGAGCGAACAGG